GUCGUACUUUUUAUUUUAAUGCGAGAUUGAGUUAAAUUUAGUGUUUGAGGAUGUUUAGGAAUUGGUUGAAAUAACUGUCGUACUGACGAGAGAAAGCUAUCUUGUGAGAAAAAGCAUGGAUAAUAAGAUUGCACAAAAUGAUGAAAUCUUAGCUUUGGAAAGUAUCUAUGAUGAAAAAAUGUUCCUUGUGGACCGUGAAAGAAAGAAUCCACGUGGCUGGUUUGUAGCUCAUACUUCUGUACCCAGGUCUUUGUGUCUAGUUUGUAAUAGAGAUGGAAAACAAGAAGAAAUUCAAAUUAAUUACCUUCCACCAGUGAUUCUACACUUUGAAUUAGUAGCAAAGUAUCCAUCAACUUCCCCGCCAGCUUUUUUGUUGUCAGCUAGCUGGCUUACAUUAAAACAGUUAUCGAACCUUUGCUCUCAUCUUGAACAUUUGUGGAAGCAAAAUGGGGGGGAAGUUGUGCUGUUUCAGUGGACUCAGUUCCUACAGGAGGAAACACUUACUUUCUUGGGAAUUAAUAGGUGCCUUGAUAUAACUUCCCUUAUGACUUGGAAACCCAAAAAAGUUUACAACAUUGAUGGUGACAAGAGACAUAUGUUAAGAAACUUUAAUGAAUCUGAAGAUGCAGGUACACGAAAAGCUUCAGAACCUGGGAGUACUUCCUAUAAACAGUUUCAGUGCAUGAAAAAAGAGAAAUAUGUAGUUGACCAGAACCAAGGAAGAAAAACCCAUUGUGAUCAUUAUUCACAUGAAGAAGAUAUUUCAAAAGUAAACGUCAGAACUUGCCAGACGAGACAGGUUUUUAAACCAAAAACAACUAGAGGACAAUUAGAAUUUGAUCAGCGGGCAGUUUUAGAAAAGAAAAGUGGAGAAAGGUUGCUUUCAUAUUUAAUAGAUUGCUAUGACACAGAUAUGUGGUUAUGUCUGUGUGGAUGUUUUACUGUUAUGAGGUCCAUAAAGAGUCUGUUGGUGAAUCUGUUUGGAAAUAUUUUAUUCCAUGGGCAUCUUUUCGAAUAUAACCAAUACAAGCUUCAAGAGACCUUUGACAAUGAAUGGCAUUUCUGUAAGGUUUGUUUGUGUGAGAAACAAGGUAGAGAGUGUAUGACUUUCUUUACAUGUAAACACAUCUUUUGUAAAGAUUGCAUCAGAAGCUUUUUUGAGAUUCAAAUUCAAGAUGGAAAAGUGCGGUUUUUAUCUUGUCCAGAAGAUGGUUGUUUAUCACAGGCACUUCCUACUCAGGUGAAAGAUCUUGUAUCUCCAGAACUGUACUCCCACUAUGACAGAAUCUUAUUGAACUCCACUUUAGAGAGCAUGUCAGAUAUUAUCUACUGCCCAAGGCAAUAUUGUCAGUUUCCUGUCAUGUUAGAAGCUGACUGUAACAUGGCUACGUGUCCGAGCUGCUCCUUUGUGUUUUGUGUUUACUGCAAAAUGGUGUACCAUGGUAUAUCACCUUGCCAGCUUCGAUUAGAGGAAAAAAAAGAGAUUUUUGAAAAAUAUUUAAAAGCUGUUGGGAAGCAGAAACAAGACAUGGAGGUUCGUUAUGGACGAAAGACAUUGCAGACACUUGUGGAUAACACACUAUCUGAGAAGUGGAUUGAUAUCAAUAGUAAAAAAUGUCCUCAUUGUAAUACUUCUAUUGAGAAAAGAGAUGGUUGUAACAAGAUGACAUGUUGGAAAUGCAGCACAUACUUUUGCUGGUUGUGUAUGUCUCGACUCUCUUCAACAAGCCCGUAUCUGCAUUUUAAUGAUCUAACCUCUCCAUGUUUUGACCAGCUGUUUCAAGGCAUAUUCAAUCCGGCAGAUGAGGAUGACUGGGAAUUUGGACAAUUUUUGUAAGAAAAGAAGCAAGCUAUGCCAGUGAUCCUCAGACUCCUGGAGCCAGCCUAAUAUUUACCAUGGCAGAUUUCCUGAAUAAAGAUGCAUUACCAAGCAAUGCAUCAGACAUGGGAAAGCUUACUGCAUCCAUCAUUGGGUUGGCCCUGAAGUCUCCUGGAGCUGAGUAGCCCCCAUCAGCAGUGGUAGGUGCCAUGAAGUUCAAGCCUCAACUGGACGUACUGGUCAUAAAGAAAGUAACACCAGCCACUUCUUCAUCAGUUCCAAUUGUCCCAUUGAAGGGUGCUAUGCCAACACACAUUGAUGUCACUAGGUGUGUUUUCAUCUCCCAUGUCCACACACUAUUCCUAAGCCAAAGAAAACCUUUUCUUAGCUUGGGUCCUUUUAAGGGUUGACCAGGUUGAGGUGGGAUGGGUUCCCAGAUGAUGAGGACUGUAGCUGAAGUUCAGACCACCAGUACACUGAUGCAGAUGAGCCAAUCAGCACAUGGCCAUGUUGUGAGUAUGCAGUCAAUGAGGGGGCAUUAACAUAGAGGACAAAAAUGACAACCAUCUUGAUCAUCACUGGAGACAACAUCUAAGAUGUUGACAACCAAUGUUAAUGUUUUUCAUUGUUUCUAAAUCCAAGAGUUCACGACUAGAUUCAUGACUGACUUAGAAAUGAUCAAAUGGGCAGAAAUCUUAAACCAUUAUUAAAAGCAUCAUGAAGUGUUCUUCUUUAUAACAAACAUUUGUAGAAGAAUUUGAAUAGAAAACUGAAACAUGGCUGGGUUUCUUUAUCUUUUAUUUUGUAUGUAAAACAAAAAAAUAAGUUUGAUGAGCUGUUAAACUUAUGAGAAGUUAUUUUAUGUAAUCACAUUGUAUGAUGAAGAAACGACUAUAAAUUUCAGAACAAGGUUAUAUUUAUUUCACUCUGUAUUUCAUUUUUACAACUCUUUCAGGAGUUACCUUUUACUUACAUUGCUAGAUUAACAAUGACUAACAGACUGUACUCUCCUAAGUUUGUUCUAUAAAAUGAUGAAGAUUAGGGAACUAGGUUACAUGGAUAGUAUCAUUUACAUUGAUAAGAAACAAUAAUAUAAAACUACAACUGUUUCUUGUGACAUGAAUGAAGUUAUGCUGUUUAAAAUUAUAGUGAAUAAAAAAUCAUUUGAAUAUUGAUGUAAAAAGUAGUACAGAACAUAAACAAAUGUAAAUUAAAAGAAGAAAAGACUGAAAAUGAAAUUUUUAAUGUGGGGGAAAUAAGUAAAGAAGUAUGAUUAUAAUGCUCAUCCUCAUAUUGCAGUUGAUUUGUGGCUUAAAUUUUGAAAUUAUUAAGGAUUUGUAUUUACAGUAAAAACAUCAUUAGCUCUGUAGCAAGGACUUUUAUUUGUAGCAGAUACUCAAAUUUUGGUCUUCUGUGUUUUCCAAUAUAGUGGUCUGCUACGGCAGUGGUACCUUUCUUAAGUUGAUUUAAAUUUCUCAUGUGUUCAACAAACUUGGUGUGUAAUGCAUGAGACAUUUCUUCAAUGUAAAAUGUAUAAGUAAAAGAAAUAAUCUUUUUAUUAUGCAUUUAUCCCCUGCUCCUGCAUAUUUAGUGAAACAUUUCUUUUUCUUAUAGCCAUUAUCUGGAUUGUAUGCUGAGCAUUUUAAUAUUUGUUUUAAGGUUCUGUCUGAUUUUUGUAAAAGUCUUAUAAGUAAACCUAAUUUUCAUAUAACUAAUUGUAAGUCCCUUUUAAAUCUUUCAUUAAUGUAUGGGAUAGUCAGUCACAAAUUUACUUGUGUCAUCUUGUUUGCAAGUAGUUGAAGUUCCCCAUUUUAACUUUUUAUAGCACUUUUAAUUACAACAGAGAUAAAACUAUCUGAGGAACUAUUUAGUUUGAGCAUGUGUCGUUGAUAUUUUAGUCCUUUGAGUAUUUUUUUCUUUUUUUUUACAUGAGUAUGGUUACCUGAGUGUAGGAAGACCACUUUUGAAGAGGGCUUUUUGCAUACAUUUGCUAUUAGUUUAAUUUCUUAAUAAUCAAGAAUACCAAGAAAACUGAAUUGGCUACUUCUUGCCAAAUGUUCUAGAGUAAAAAUUACAUUUGUUUGUAAGCUAUUUAAAUAUUUGUGAAAUGUUUCAAGUUUAUGUACAAUGGAAAGCCGUGUAAGAAAAAUAUCAUAUAUACACCUUGAUAACAACAUAUUUUUGAACUUCUUUUUAGAGCCAUGAUAUUAGUGUAUUGUUUGUAAUAGAUGCUGGAACACUAGCAAAACCUACUGCAAAAUUGUUCCCCAUAGCAAGUCCUUUCUUUUAGUCUGCAAAUAUUUUUGCUGAACUGCAAAUAACUAUUAGUCAGAAUAAAGUGGAGACAUUAUUCUAAAAUUUCCAGAGGAAUACCAAAAAGAUUCAGGUUUUUAUUUUCUUAUGAUAUUCAUUAUUGCUGAUAAUUCUUCAUUGAAAGUUAUUUAUGGGUAGAGAAACUAUGGCUAGGCUGAAAAGCAGUAAGUUUUGCUGGACUGGUAAAUUUUCUAGCUUACGUAGAUUAGCCAAGAAAGAGUGUUUCUUAUCUAGUGGAUACAGUUGGUUUGAGUGGCAUGUCUUCCUUGUGGUUUUUUAGUAAGCCAUAUAAGUGUGGUUUACUACUGUGAUUUAGUUUCAGUGGUUCCAGUAAUUUUUUGAGUAUCUUGCUUUUACUUUCAAGUUAUUAAAACAAAAUUUUAGUUUUAAUUUUAACAUUAAAAGUUGGAUUUUGUGUGAAAGGUAAAUGUAUCUGAAUCACUUAAAAUAGUUCUAACUCUGUUAACUUAGGAUGGGUAUUAUAAUCAUAGUUCUUUGGUUAUUCCCUUAUAUUUAACUUCACAUUUUAAAUCUUUUCUUCUUUUAGUUUACUUUACAUCUGUGUAUUCUACAUUCCAUAUCUCUCUUUUUUUCACAUCAAUGUUCAAAUGAAUUUCACUAUAAUUUUAUACUGAACAUCUCUAUUCUUGUCAUUUUAAAAUGGUGUUCCUACAUAGUUUUCCUGUUUUCAAUGUAAACAGUAUUACCUACAUGACUUUGUACCAUACCCUCCAUUGUUCUGUAGAACAAAUUAAAAAAUCUAUAGUCUGUUAGUCAUUGUGAGUCUAAUAGUGAAGUAGAAGGUCACUGCUGAAAAAGUUGUAGAAAUGAAAUGUUGAGAGAAAAAAAAUGUUUUGAAAUUAUGGUCGUUUUUUUUUUUUUUGUGACACAAAAUAUGUAAGUUACUCCAGUCAGCACUUUAUUGUAUAACUUUAAUUUUCAUUAUAAAUUAAUAUAAUUUUACUUUAGUUUCAUCUUUUGUAGCUAUUCAUUAGGAAGUUGUAAUUAUAAUACAGAGCAACAAAUUAACAAAUAAAAACAAUCGUUUAUAUUCAUUAAUAUGUUGUCAGGAAAUGUGAAACUAAGUAAAAUUAAGUAUGUUCAAAUUACCAUACAGUGUUAUAAUUCAAAACUAUUUCAGAUCAGUACUAAGAAAGAGCUCUGUUAUUUGUGUUGAUUUGUUCAAUAUCAGUAUACUGAAAUUUUUCACAGUAUGCAUUAAAAGAAUCAGUAGUGACAAUGUAAAAGUAUGGUUUCUUUCAGUUAAAUCUUGUUUCUUUUGUAAAUUCUGAGCUUAUGAAAUAAAGUUAUCAGAUAAUCUGGUGGCACGUUUGCAUAUGUAUAUUAUCAAAUUGUGUUAUUAGUUUGAUAUUUGCUAUUCCAACUUUCAGGUUAUUUUGACUGAUUAAAAGUGAACAUUUAAGAGAAUUGGGAUUCCUAAAUUUUACAGGUUUUAUUUUUAAUUUUUUAAGGCAGAUUUUACUCAAGGUUUAACUGGUAUGUCUAUUUUAUAGAAGUUAAUUUUUUUUAUCCAUUAAAGGAAAAAAUAUAAGAUUGUCUUUAGUGUAUUUUACACUUUUAAAAACUGAUGGUCUGGUAUGUGUGUGUUCAGUUUUUGUUUUGUUUUUUUGCUUGUAUUUCACUCAGCAACAGAACAUAUACUGCAUAUAUAUAUAUAUAUAUCUGUGAUUUUUGAGCAUGCAAAUGCAUUUUAAAUUUGUUUUGUUAGUAGUAACACAAAUUUCACAGUUUCACAAGUUUAUAACUUAGGUUUAUAUGUAGUUACCUCUGAAUAGGUGAAUUUAACAGUCUGUAAUAGUGAAAAUGUUUUCUAGAAAUAUGUAAGUUAUUUUAAAGGUAGGUAGCUAUAUGACUGGUAUAGUAGUUUAAAAGUUAGUGUUUUAUAAUUGAAUGUAUUAAAUGUUAAAAACAUCCUUAAAAUGAAAUAGUAUGGUAUCAGGUGUUACAUGAAGUUCUAUAAUAAAAUUAAAAAACAUCUUUAA
rnacentral:misc_RNA from 1 species